GAUUAAUCAGUAUGCAUAUACAUUUAUUUCCUGGAAAAAAAAAUAAAAAGAUUGGGAAGAUUCACUGAUGUUAGAAAAUGUAAAGUAUUCAAGCAAGAUAACUGAUUAGACAUGUAAAAGCAGUCUUUAUACUAAAUAAUAAAAUAUAUAUUAAAUAUGCU